UACGAAGGGGGCUAGCGUUGCUCGGAAUCACUGGGCGUAAAGCGCACGUAGGCGGUUUGCUAAGUCAGGGGUGAAAUCCUGGAGCUCAACUCCAGAACUGCCUUUGAUACUGGCGGACUUGAGUCCGGGAGAGGUGAGUGGAACUGCGAGUGUAGAGGUGAAAUUCGUAGAUAUUCGCAAGAACACCAGUGGCGAAGGCGGCUCACUGGCCCGGUUCUGACGCUGAGGUGCGAAAGCGUGGGGAGCAAACAGG
rnacentral:rRNA from 1 species